UACGGAGGGUGCAAGCGUUAAUCGGAAUCACUGGGCGUAAAGCGCACGUAGGCUGUUUGGUAAGUCAGGGGUGAAAUCCCGCAGCUCAACUGCGGAAUUGCCCUUGAUACUGCUGGACUUGAGUUCGGGAGAGGGUGGCGGAAUUCCAGGUGUAGGAGUGAAAUCCGUAGAUAUCUGGAGGAACAUCAGUGGCGAAGGCGGCCACCUGGACCGAUACUGACGCUGAGGUGCGAAAGCGUGGGGAGCAAAC
rnacentral:rRNA from 1 species